rnacentral:rRNA from 1 species
AUUGAACGCUAGCGGCAGGCUUAACACAUGCAAGUCGAGCGGAGAUGAGGUGCUUGCACCUUAUCUUAGCGGCGGACGGGUGAGUAAUGCUUAGGAAUCUGCCUAUUAGUGGGGGACAACAUUCCGAAAGGAAUGCUAAUACCGCAUACGCCCUACGGGGGAAAGCAGGGGAUCUUCGGACCUUGCGCUAAUAGAUGAGCCUAAGUCGGAUUAGCUAGUUGGUGGGGUAAAGGCCUACCAAGGCGACGAUCUGUAGCGGGUCUGAGAGGAUGAUCCGCCACACUGGGAAUGAGACACGGCCCAGACUCCUACGGGAGGCAGCAGUGGGGAAAAUUGGACAAUGGGCGGAAGCCUGAUCCAGCCAUGCCGCGUGUGUGAAGAAGGCCUUUUGGUUGUAAAGCACUUUAAGCGAGGAGGAGGCUACCUGGAUUAAUACUCUAGGAUAGUGGACGUUACUCGCAGAAUAAGCACCGGCUAACUCUGUGCCAGCCGCCGCGGUAAAAC